rnacentral:rRNA from 1 species
ACGAACGCUGGCGGCGUGCUUAACACAUGCAAGUCGAACGGAAGGGCCCUGCUUUUGUGGGGUGCUCGAGUGGCGAACGGGUGGGUAACACGUGAGUAACCUGCCCUUGACUUUGGGAUAACUUCAGGAAACUGGGGCUAAUACCGGAUAGGAGCUCCUGCUGCAUGGUGGGGGUUGGAAAGUUUCGGCGGUUGGGGAUGGACUCGCGGCUUAUCAGCUUGUUGGUGGGGUAGUGGCUUACCAAGGCUUUGACGGGUAGCCGGCCUGAGAGGGUGACCGGCCACAUUGGGACUGAGAUACGGCCCAGACUCCUACGGGAGGCAGCAGUGGGGAAUAUUGCACAAUGGGCGGAAGCCUGAUGCAGCAACGCCGCGUGCGGGAUGACGGCCUUCGGGUUGUAAACCGCUUUCGCCUGUGACGAAGCGUGAGUGACGGUAAUGGGUAAAGAAGCACCGGCUAACUACGUG